GGAUGUGAGGGUGAUCUGGCUGUGACAUCUCUCACCCCACUGAUCACCAGGAUUUAUUUGGCUGAUCUGGCUGGCUUGGCAGGUGUCCCCUUCCUCCUUCAACAUGCCACGUGUGUCCCUCCCGAAGCUUCAUGCUCAGUCAAAGAGGACGACCUUCCCCGCUAGAGGAGGACCCAUCUUUGGUCAAGGGUAUAUGAGUAGCUGCGCUUCCCUGCUAGAACCUCCAAACAAGCUCUCAAGAAUAUUUAUCCCCCAAAACCAAUAGGAAUUCAACUUGCUUCAGGACCCAAAGACUAUGAUCACAAAUCA
rnacentral:snRNA from 1 species